CCUACGGGAGGCAGCAGUGAGGAAUAUUGGUCAAUGGGCGAGAGCCUGAACCAGCCAAGUCGCGUGAGGGAGUACUGCCCUAUGGGUUGUAAACCUCUUUUGUCGGGGAGCAAAAGCCGGACGUGUCCGGCUGUGAGAGUACCCGAAGAAAAAGCAUCGGCUAACUCCGUGCCAGCAGCCGCGGUAAUACGGAGGAUGCGAGCGUUAUCCGGAUGUAUUGGGGUUAAAGGGUGCGCAGGCGGAUUUUUAAGUCAGCGGUCAAAUCGUGGGGCUCAACCCCGCCCAGCCGUUGAAACUGGGGAUCUAGAGUGUGCGAGAGGUAUGCGGAAUGCGUGGUGUAGCGGUGAAAUGCAUAGAUAUCACGCAGAACCCCGAUUGCGAAGGCAGCAUACCGGUGCACAACUGACGCUCAGGCACGAAAGCGUGGGUAUCGAACAGGAUUAGAUACCCCAGUAGUC
rnacentral:rRNA from 1 species